CCUACGGGAGGCAGCAGUGGGGAAUAUUGGGCAAUGGGCGCAAGCCUGACCCAGCAAAGCCGCGUGAAGGAAGAAGGCUUUCGGGUUGUAAACUUCUUUUGUCAGGGAAGAGUAGAAGACGGUACCUGACGAAUAAGCCACGGCUAACUACGUGCCAGCAGCCGCGGUAAUACGGAGGUGGCAAGCGUUGUCCGGAUUUCCUGGGUGUAAAGGGCGUGUAGCCGGGUUGACAAGUCAGAUGUGAAAUCCUGCGGCUUAACCGCAGAACUGCAUUUGAAACUGUUGAUCUUGAGUACUGGAGAGGCAGAUGGAAUUCGUAGUGUAGCGGUGAAAUGCGUAGAUAUUAGGAGGAACACCAGUGGCGAAGGCGGUCUGCUGGACAGCAACUGACGGUGAGGCGCGAAAGCGUGGGGAGCAAACAGGAUUAGAUACCCGAGUAGUC
rnacentral:rRNA from 1 species